UAUUGCUACCAUUUUUGAGCA
rnacentral:piRNA from 1 species